rnacentral:lncRNA from 1 species
CAAAGAUCUAUGAAAAAAACGGACAUUCCUAACUAGCGAAUCAUCAAUUCCAUUUUGCACCAUUGGGAAGUAGUUGAUUUUGAAGUCCGGAAAGCACAUCUAUAGAAUUCGAAUGACUUCCAGCUCGGUGGAGAAAUUUGGCCACGCUUGUGGAUCCGCUAUCAUUGCAAUCAAGUCCUUGCAAUCCGUCCCAAAUCUCUGACAUGUCGAGUGCUGUAGCAUACUCUGCAUUGCCCAUCUUAACGCUUCCAGCUCGGAGUGUCGUGAUGUCUCACGCCUUCUUAAGU